AAAGCUUAUUGAUUCAUGAAUUUAUAAGGAAGAACAAUGAUAAAUGAAAAGACACCUUAGAUUAUAUAAGCCCUUUUUUGUAAAUUUUAUUAUCUAGAAGUUAUAUUUGGAGUUUUUAUAUAAAUGAAAUUUAAAUGGUCUUAUUAUAUCAUGAUUAUUAUUAUUGUGUUUGUUCUCUUUUUUCUAUUAGGUUUUGUUUCUAAUUCCAUAAAUGAUUUAGGCUUCAGAGAUUUGUUCUUUUGUUUUUAUUUUCUCUUUACAUGGUUCCACAUUAGAGAGGAAAUGAAAGAAAGAGAGAGGAUUGGAGAUUUUUAGGUUGUCUAUGAAGAGUUUGGUGGCUAAUUAUUAGCAUUCCUGUUGCCCUACUUAUAGAUUUGCAUUUGAUGUGUUAUAUGGAACAUGAAAGGUUUUCUUGAGUGGACAUAAUGAUUUGUUAUCGCCUUUUUUCUUUUAUGCUUAAAUGCCACUCUUCUGGCAUAUUUCUGUGAAAAUAUGUAUCAAAAUUCUUCAAGACUUUUUUCGAGACUAGCAACUUGUUUUGUUUUCAGAAUAUAGGUGUUUUCCUGUAUGAAUUCAUAUCUCUUGGACUGAUGUAGGACAUUUCUUGUCCGCUUUCAUUAAUUGUUUCAGGGUCCACCACUUGCUGGAAGGUAU
rnacentral:misc_RNA from 1 species